rnacentral:misc_RNA from 1 species
GGAAGUAAAAGUUGUAACAAGGUCUCCGUUGGUGAACCAGCGGAGGGAUCAUUACAGAGUUUUCACAACUCCCAACCCUUGCGAACCGUACCCAUUCUGUUCUCGUUGCUUCCGGCGGGGGGGACGGGGGGGCCCGAAACGGCCUCCCCGCCCCGCCCGCCGGGGGCGGCGGGCCCUACGAACCUUUAUAUCUCAACCACCAGAAACCAUCUGAGAAAACAAACAAAAUAAUCAAAACUUUCAACAACGGAUCUCUUGGCUCUG